ensembl:lncRNA
CUUUGCCUCGGGGAGUACAAAACAAACACUAACAAAACCUUAAUCUCUAAUUUACUUCAUCUGUCACGAAAGGACCCAAAACCUCUUGACAGGUAAACAACUAGGGGAAGGUUUGCUCUUAUUGUCAGCUACAUACUGCCCUUUUUUUGGGUAUUUUUUUCUUAUUGGAGAUUUUGGAGAUCCCUUCAUCCUCUGGGCUGAAAUAUUACCCAGGUACUUGAAGCUGAGUGAGGAAGGACAUUUUUAGCAUAUGACUAAGGUAAUUCAUUAGACACUGGUUCUUUUUAAUUGGCUUCAGUAGCAGAGGGUCACCUUUUCUUGACUUUGAACUCAAAUUUCCCCUUGUCAGAAAUCCUGUAUACUUACUAUCCAGCCCAAAUAUGCUCAGGAGGAUUUUCCAUUCUGGUUUCUUGUUUUGUGUUCUCUCUCUUCUCAUAGUACUAAGUAGCAUCCAGAAUAGGACAGGGGCAGGACAGGAAGGAGAGAUAAGAGGGCAUCCAUCAUUAUUGCAAUUGUUUGGUAGGUGGGAUCCUCUAGGGGAGGGACAGAAGUCUUUGGGUAUUCACUGUAAAAAUCAGUGCCCAGGUCUCUGGGUCAAUGAGUGAAGUGGCUGAAGCAGAGUCAUCAAAAGAGCCAAAGUUUUUAAUCGGAGGAAUCCAUAUAGUGAUUAAGAUUCUGUUGGCUGAAGAGUAAUUAAAACCAACUCAAGAUAGCUUAAAGAAGAAAAUUUAUUUUUACGAUUACAGUGGUGUUUCACAAAACCCAAGGGCAUGGGUGCGGCCAAUCUCAGAAAUGAACUGUAGUCAGGAAACCCAAGCAGACCUCUCUCUCAUUUACUCACUUCUGUAUCUCUCUGUAUAUAUGCUCUGCGGUGGUUUUGAAAGUAUGUUCUCAAAUUCUUUGACAGUUCUUUCCUCAAAAGCGGAGCCUAAUUCCCCUCUCAUUGAGUGUCGGUUGGACUUGGUGGCACUUUUAAUGAGUAGAACGUGGCAGAAUGAUGGUUUGUGACUUCAGAGCUGAGGACAUAGAAAAUAUUGUGGCUUCCUCCCUGUUCUCUUUCUUGGACCACUUGUUCUGGGGAAGCCAUGUCAUGAGGAUGCUUAAAUGACCUUGUGAAGAGAUCCAUGUGGUGAGGAGCUGAGGCCUCUUGCCAACAUCCACGUGAGCGUGCCAUCUUGGAAGUGGAUUCUUCAGCCCCAAUCAAACCUUCAGAUGCAGGUGCAGUCAACAUCCUGACUGCAACCUCAUGAGAGACCCUGAGCCAAAACCAUGCAGCAGAAAAAGGCUUUGCUGGAUACGGCAAGGACAAAUAUGUACCAUGAUAGAGGAGAGUUUUCAGUUUUGUUGGGGAAAGAGAUUGCGUAUCAACCCAUGGAUGUACACACUCCGCCUCUUCAGAGAGAACUUCACAAGCCUCACUCCUGAGAUUUCCUCAAAGGCUGCAUGGCCUGUUGGACAAGAGAUUUGGUGUCGCCUUUUAUUGGAUCUUCUGACUGAAGAUACAAAGCACUAUUGACCAUUUAAAUGGCCCUCAGAGCAAGAGAAGCUUCUAUGAAUUUGCUAAUAUUCCCUCUGUGAUGAAGAUGUUUACUGCUUACUAAAUAUUUGUGAUGUCUUCUCAUUUCCAAGCUUCCCUGCAGACCCCCUGCUGAGCACUGGGGGAAUGGAAAAGGUGUAGUCCCUGCUCUCAAACAGCUUAGGAUAAAGUAUGGACACCAAUAUCCUCCACAGAAGACAAAAUUUGAUAAGUUCCAUGUAAGUGGUAUCAAAGAAACCAGAGAUGAAAAAGAAGGGAAGUAUUACUCCCAUUUGCAAGCAGUGGCACCCCAAUGUGGGGUUGGGGAAGUGGGAUGAAGUUUGCCCUGGGUGCAAACAAUUAUAGGAAACUCAAAAACAGUAAUAAAACCAACUCAAAAUCAGUCUACUUUCUAUUGUUACUAUAUGUCAGCUAUUCAAAAUAGCAUCAGUGAUAAAAUACUUCUCUCCACUGGGACUGACCGUUCCCACCCCUUGUUACACCACCAGCUGGAAGGUUGAAGAAAGGAUUCAGAAAGGAGGUGGACGAGAAGACUGAUCUUGAAGCAGAUUUAAGGUUUAUAGAAGAAAUAUGAGAGAACUUUCAAGGCAGAUAUAGUUUAAAGUUGGGAGGAGGCCAAAUUGCGGGAGAAUAUCUAUUAUACCCCAUUGUUUUAUUGCUCUGCAAUGAGUAUAGUAUUUUAAAUCUAAUCAUUAAUAUUUAGAAGGAGUUCAUUGUUAGCUCUUUAAUGCAUGCAUAUUUAUUUUUAAGUGUAAUUAACCAGCUAGAAGAAGAAACGUGUAAAGUGUAAUGAAUGCCGUAUAGUGAAGUGUCUUCAAGAAUUGUUAUGAUUACUUUGACUUGUGAGAGAAAAGAAAACUUUUAGGUUUGGGAGCGCCCUGGAGUAAAGAGAAUCCACAUCUUUUCCACUCCAGUAUAUGGCUUCAUUUUAUGGAAUCAACUGAUAGGUGGUAAUAAAUUCCCUGCCGCGGAGAGCAUUCAAGCAGAGGCUGGAGGCUGGAAGGUCUGGCUAACUGUCCCCAGGCCUGGAAUGAAGUCAAGCUGCACACGAGGAUUGAAGCCUGAGAACCAGAAAAGAUAUUUCCUCUCUUCUAAAGAACAGUGAAAGCGUCCACAGCAAAAAGAAGUAACACCAUAGCCCUUUGAAGAUCAAUGUCAAGCUCUGCCCCUUCAGGACUUUCCACAUGCACCAGUACAAUGGCCCUUCUACCUCAAUGGCAACAACUUGAGGGUUACCCAGGAAAGACAGCAAGGAGACGACUAAAUGAUGAGCAAAAUCAUUCGUCAAAGACCACGCGAGACUAGCAAGGAUCAUAGUUGCUGAGUGGGAAAAUACUUUCACUGUUGCAAGCAGCUCAGACCGAAGGGGAACAGGCAAGUCUUUGGAACUGCUUGGAGGGACAGAUUGAGACAAUGGAGGAUCCACGGCCCUGGCAGACUGGCUUCUCUUGCUGCUGCGAGUCCUGCUCCAUGACACCCUGGCGAGAUGUCCUGGCCCUAUUGGGAUGUGGUUGCCAGGCUAUCUUGGGGAGGGCAAUUCCUCCUCUUGACAAUUUCCUGGAAUCUGCUGGAAUUUUUUUGCCUCAAGGAGGAUUUAACAAGCUGGGGAGAAUUUCGCUCUGCUGCUUUUUCUGCAACUCUUUUCUUGUUCAGGUGCCAACAGGCCCUCGUCCUUCUAGGAUUCCAAGCUGUAGCUUCUUGGGAGGCUGAUGUAAUGGUUCUAAGCCUCAGAAUAGAAGACCCACUUUUUGAUAUGAUCUGUCUGCUGUGUAUUCAUCCCCAUUCCUUGCCCUCUUACCCUUCCUUCUAAAGACCUGCCAGCGCCUCUCAACAUCUUCACGCUUUCUUGGAUCCAGGCAAGGAACAUACUUAAAAUAGCCAUCAAAAGAAGAUCUGGUCUCAGCGAAGGAGAGAGAGUAAAAGGAACAAGGUAUUUUGCAGAGAAACAGUGAAAAUCCCAGAACCCAGCAGUAGGGAAGCAGGUUUAUACCUAUAAAGGCUUGCAUCCAAGACUAAUAUCAACCUCUUCAAUCCACAUAGAGCUUUUUGUAUGCACUCUUGACUCCGG